rnacentral:rRNA from 1 species
GACGUAGGGCGCGAGCGUUGUCCGGAUUUAUUGGGCGUAAAGAGCGUGUAGGCGGCCAGACAGGUCCGUUGUGAAAACUGGAGGCUCAACCUCCAGACGUCGAUGGAAACCGUCUGGCUAGAGUCCGGAAGAGGAGAGUGGAAUUCCUGGUGUAGCGGUGAAAUGCGCAGAUAUCAGGAAGAACACCCGUGGCGAAAGCGGCUCUCUGGGACGGUACUGACGCUGAGACGCGAAAGCGUGGGGAGCGAACAGG